CGACGGAGCGCAUCUUGCAUUCGCGAGAUGCACACGCAGUUAUCUUACGUCGCUGACACGAACGGGGAAAGAGGAACAUUAGGGGAGAUCCGGAGAUGUGUCGCCGAGAGAGAAAAAGAGAGAGAGGACUACGAUAGGAGAGACCGGUAAUCAACCAAUGCAGUAACAAAACAGGAGACGAUGUUGCAUUUUCAUCAAGAAGUGCGCGAUCGGGGUCACGAUUAACACUUUGGUGGUUUCAAGCUAUUGUCCAUCGUCCAUCGUUACUGACGUGUCCUGUUUCCAGUAAUAUUCCCAGAAAAUGAAAUAACCUAAUCGAAGAAAUGUGGAAUCAGUUAUCAAGAGGGAAAUUGCUUGCUGGAUCGAGCAAUGUCGAGCCCGAAGAAAAUCCCGGACUUCCCUUAAAAUCUCAAGGAAACUCGUACCGAAGCCGAGAAACAGCGAGGGUGGAGGAGAGGGGAAGAGAGAGAAAGGGAAGAAAAGCGUUGUUACAGGCGUCAGGAUGAAGGUACACGUAUUCUUUUUAAGGCGGAACACUUUACUGCCGCUCGUUCCGCCGGCGGUAAUGGAGGAAGCUCGACCACCCCCGAAGAAUUAAUUCGGGGCUAAAGCCGAGGCAAGCCCACCCACCCCCCGCCGAUAUCGAGUCGCUCGCCCGGAAGUGUUAGUGUCUACUUACCACUCCUUCAGUUAGCUUUUUACUUUAGUUGACCGCAUUAGCGCCGCAGUCUCUCGUUUCGCAAGGGCGCUGCAGCCGGGGCGAUUUCUAAUUUAACCACCAAUUUAAGCGUAGCCGGCCUCCUAAAAGAGAAUCAGAUAUUUCCAUCGCGACGUGAAAUCGCCGCUUCGAUCAAAUUCUAUUCCACGUGAGAUAUUAACUUUUUUUUAAUUCGUCUUCUUUUUUUCAUUCGCAUUAUGAGUGGCACUAUUAAUUGCGUUGUUUUACCUUAUGAGUUUUUUUAUCAGCGGUGAUACAGCGAUGAAAAUGGAAGGCUUAUUUUCUCACUGCUUAUAAACUAAAACAUUAUAAUAAAUAACAAAAUUGUAAUUGUCCAUACGGGAAAAAAAAAUAUGUAAAUGUUUAGUUUUAAAUCUGACAAUAAUUCUUACUAGAUUCAAAAUCAAAAUAACCGUCGUGUAUAAUCAAUUUCUAUUCAUGGAAGUUCUCGAAAUUUUUAAGUACUCCAUUCUUUAUCCCCUCCUUACAAGAGUAUUUAUAGUGGGGGAGACUUCUGUGCAGUAAAACGACUAAGAGAACGUCAUUUUCUUUGUGAAGUUCUCAGUGUGAACAGAGUUCAUUUCUUAGUCGGACGCCAAUAAUCUAUGUGCGUAUCAAUGUGACUUUCUUGUGUAAACAGUGAGAAUUUUGUAAAAAUUAUUGUAAGUAUUCUAUUUUUAUUCUAAAUUAAUACUGAAUACUUGUUUUUGCUUAAAAAAUAUUUUUCUUGAAAAAAAUCAUGUUUUAAGAAAAAAAUGUCUUUGGAGCAAACUUGAGAUGCCAAAUUGCAUUAUGUACAAGCAAGAUAACUCUUGAAGACAUUCUUGCACAAAAUAUAAAAAAAUACUUUUUUUUACAAUAUUUAAUUUUUCUUUAAGGAUGUAAAUACAUCCUUUACUGAAAAUUAUUUACCUUCAUGUAUUUAAACAACUAUACUUUUUGAAGAAUUUAAAGUACAUGGUUUUUUCUAAAGUUUUAUACCUAAACUGGAAAACUCUAGAAUCACAUUUUUUUAUAUAUAUUUAUUAUAAAAAAUAAAUUUUUAAUAAUUUUGAAUGAAGGAAAUAUUAAGUGAGAGACACAAGAAAGCACUUUGUGUUUUGUGAAUAAAAUCUUGAUUGAGUCACCUUCAUUUGAUUGAAUAAGAAGUGCAUAUUUUAUUUUUCGAUUUAUAAUCCAUGCAAAUUUUUUUAUGUAUCGGACACGAUCAAAGCUAUAACUAAUGAAAAAUUUUUUACAUGAUUAUAAUGGGGGCAAAAAAAUACUUCCUAUGAUAACAAAAAAUUACUCAGAGUUAAAAGUAAAGUUAUAUUUUACAAUUAAAAAUGAACAAAAGAUGUAUGAAUAAAAAUUUUAGGAGGGGUUUAAACUUUUCCUUUUGUACAUGCGCUCAUGCAAGAUAUCCUUUUUCACAUGAUACCUUAAGGGAUUCAGUAAAAUACUCAAAUUGCAAGGUCACCAUUGUUCGGAGCAUUGUUAGUCGUGCAUGAGUGUCCUACAUAAUUAUUUUGAUAGUAUUUAAUAGAAUUAUUUUUUGAUCUGUUCUUUCCAUAUAUGCAUACGGUUAAUUUGAGCGAGGAUGCAGGUAUAAUGAUUUACGCGCCAUCCGCCCCCACAAAUUCCAUUCGCCGGACCGCUUAAAACGUCGAUUCGCUCUCUUUUAAGUUUAACAGGCGAUAGAUUUUAACGUUCUGCCGCCGUUUGUUAUUCUACUCUUCGGUGAACCCCGCGGUGAGGGACUGCCUGGUUGCAUACCUCGUCUUUCCACCGUCAGUCUUUCCUCGGGUUUAAGCCUGAAAAUCCCAGAACUACCUUUCCCCGUAUUUACCAGGAUACUGAAGAUUCUUGGCGCGGUUGCGCUCGCCUCUCCCCCUCUCCCGCUUGUACGUACCGUUCGUUUCGUCGAAGAGCGGUAGCAGCCACUCUAUUCAUCCCCCGGUGCGCGAGCACCGUCGUUAGCGCGAGCGAGAACGACCGCAAACUCGAAAACCGACGACGGUCGAAGAGAGAGCGAGACGGCAACCCCGGAGAGACGCGACAGCGAGGGGCGAGGAAAUCCGAGGAGCAAGAGAGAGAGAGAGAGAGAGAGAGAGAGAACGAGAAACGCGUGCAUGGUCCCGCGGUGCCGCGGGACGAGGACGCGACGAGAUCGAACCUCCCGCCACGCAGGUUACGGAAACGACCGAGCGUCGACGAAGCGGCCGACACGGUCGGCUCAGUUGCGCGCGAGACGUGCAUCGUGUCACAUCGUGUUUUACGAUCGCUCGUCUUCCGUGUCCGGAGAGAGAGAGAUGCGACGCAGCCGGCCGUCGUCGGUCACCAACCGUGCGCGUGCGUUACAUCAGCAUUCGCUCGCUCGUUUGUUUCGUCCGUCCGUCCUUCGGAUUCUCGAAUAACACGAGAGAGAGAGAGAGGGAGGAGAGACACACAUGCAUCUUCUCGUUAACCUCCGUCGCAAGAGCGGCUUCAGUGUGGCGCGGCCGAACGGAGAUGAGAUUGCAGCCCGGUUGUAGGAUAAAGGUUAAGGAAGCAUCGGCGAAACCGGGAGAGAACAGGGACGCACACUGUAUCCGGCCGGUCGCUAUCGACGUCUGUUAUCGACACGAGAAAGCGGUUGACAGAGUUUACUUAGUAACCAACCGCAGGCUGGGCCCGCCGCGCAGGAUACCUCACAGGCCCGUUGUGCUCUCAUAUCUCGGGGGAGUAGGCAUCGCGGGGUGAAACAUCAUUUUUUUUUUAAUAUCAUUUCCUGUGUUCGAAGCAAUGCGUGCCCAAAGCCCCUUAUCAUUCUCCUGUCCGGUGUAGAGUUUGUUAGACGACUGGACGGAGAACUGAUAAGGGCCCGAGGGUCACAGAAUCAUCGUGGGAUUGGAUACAUUGCCGGGUCUUCGACUACUGAAUGCCGAAAGCAUAUAUGGCAGAGGAUCUAUAAAAUUGACAUAUCAUUCUGUUAUUACAGUACCAAAAAAAUAAUAAAAGUUCCAGUAGCACUUCUCAUAA